AUGUAUGCUGUGUUGGUUGGGGGCCACAAACAUGGCACAGGGUGCAUCUACACUGUAGAAUUAAUGCAGUUUGACAUCACUUUUAACUGCCACGGCUCAAUGCUAUGGACUAUGGAAAACUCACAGCAACCCAGUGAUUCCGGCCAUGAAGCGUUCGACAACACAGUUCUCUGGUUCUUCAGCCUUGAUGUGGAUUUUUUCAGUCUAUUUUGGAGAAGCCCAUGGAGAAAUGUCUCAAUGUAUCCGACACCAGAGGUGGCAACUUUGCAAUUCAAGAGAGAAAGAUCUUUGCUCCGUGUUCCUGUAUAUCCUUGCAGCUGUGGAUCUUGCUUCAAGUUCCAGCCUCGCUUUUGACUGUGAAUCCAGUUGAACAUUCUAGUGACUUUGCCAUUUGGAUUUCUAUUCUAGCCAAGACCUUCGCUUUGUGUUCCAGCAUUAACUUUAUACCUUGAAAUACCUUGGAGUUUGAUCCUGCAUUCGAGUCUUGUUUCCUGUGGUUCCAGUUUGAAUAGUCCAAAUGAAGCUUGUUUGGACUAUUCUUGAUGCCUUUUGUGGGACUUAAUUCGAUAUCUGGUUUAGACUACGUUCUGUGAGUGACUUUCAUAGACUCUUGCUUCAAGAUUUUCAAGUACUUUGCUUUUGUGGGUUUAAACCCAUUUUAUUGACUCUGAAUUUUAUUUGCUUGUGCUUACUUAUAACCUUCAAUAAACAACUUGCUUGCUUAUAUUCUGGGACUCCAGUGUGGUUUUGAGGUGUCUACGCAGCCUAGGGGUGCAAUACUAAUUAAGAUGCAGAAUCUUAUCUUCAACACCUUGGAAAGUGCCAUUAAAGUCUGGAUUCAAACCCAGACUGGAUUUAUAGGCCUACUAAAUAGUAAGCCACUAGCUGCCAUUGGCUUAAAUCCAACUUUUGGUCCUAACUAGAGAUCUGCUGAUUUCAUGGAAUGUACAUGAAUGUUGACUUAUUCAAUUCCCAUUGGUUUAGUGGCUCUACUCUAGUUGCGACUAAGGAUUGGAUCUAAUCCAUUACAGUCCCCUCCUUGAAUCAAUUUACUAUAGAUGCAAUUAAGCAAUAACAGCAGGAGUUCAUGAUCUUUUUAUAUUUUUUUAUUUGUACUGGUUUUAAUUCUUUAUAAGUCAUCUCAAGUCCCACUAUUGGGUGGGAUGUAAAUGAAUCGCCAUCAUUUUUCUUGCCCAGGUCUUAUUUAAA
rnacentral:lncRNA from 1 species